CGAGAUGUUUAACAAACAAAUCCUCGAACGAAACUCGUCUUUGGGAACUGGGUACAACAGACCGCUUGCUAUCGAAGCUUCCUUCACUCCAUCGAGACUCGAGGAUUGAGCUCCCGGGGGACUGCAACACAAUCUUAUUCCUCAUCAUCAGCCUCUCUCAUUCAGAUUUUAGGGCUUGCCCAGAGAUCCUGGAUGAGAUCUUCACUACUCAUUCCACGUCUCCAUCCAGACCUGUUUCCAUUUUAGCGCCUAAGAAGUCGUCACAGAUCCGUCGCAACUCACUCAUUUGUACUCACGGUCCGUUCAGCGAGCGAAGGAACGUAGGAACGAGCCAACACCCAUAUGGACCGAAAGACUAAGUAGGCGACGGGGGCCGCCAUCAAAUCCGCUACAAACAGUCGUCAUGACCCAAGAGACUUCAACAUCUUCAUUUGAGGCGUUUGGACCAAUCAGAGGAAAACUGAGGGGGAAAUUGGGGAGGAGUUACAGAGAGCUCGCCAGAGUGGGAACCGCCCAACGAGCGCCAAAUGUGGCUUGAAGACAGCAAGGUUGGAAGUGAGAACAGAUACUCGGAUAAGCAAUGGGAAGUGUGUGUCAUCGAACGAGACAUGAAAAAUGAUAAUUUGUCUUCCACAUAAGAAUCUGGGAAUCAGUAGCAGAUUCAGUUCCAUUGGCGAGAAAUUCAUUCAUUCAUCAAUCAACACGAGCUAUCCACAUGAAAUCCCUGACAAGUCAGUUCGUCUGAUGAUUGCUUAUGAAUCUGGAGCAUGAAAGUGGCAAAACGACCAGAUGUGGCCCAGGCUGUAUAAUGCAUUGUAAUCGAAAUCGACCUGUCUUGAAUUUGAAGCACACGUGGAACACGCCCUUUUCCAAAGAGAGGCGGAAGACAUGAUUGCCUUAGAGGCGAUCUUGUCGCGGUUUUCCCGAUCAAGUUUCUCUUUUUGACAUCUUGAACGAACCAGGAAAUCUCCACCCUCCAUUCAAGGAUCAAGAAAAACAAAACUUCAGUUGUUCAUGUGGUGAAGAAUCAAGUUUUGGCGGCAAUCUUUGGGGUGGAACUGCAGCUGGAACCCGAAUACAGUCGACAAGUCUCCUGGUGGGAGUUCCAGAUCAUUUGAUAGGGUGCCAAAAAGAACACACAGAGUGAUGAAUUCUUCGGGAAUAAAUACAUACGUACAUCAACCUCAUCUCAUCUAGAGUACCACAGCAUUUGAUGGUCCAUUCUUGAAAUUAGCCGUCCUUUUCCAUCCUCCAAUGUAAUCGCCCAAUGACCCAUCGCGUAACGUCGUGAGUGUACUCGUUAACCUCCUUCUCCAUUUCCUACGAUUACGAGAUCAGGUGGAUGGAUGGAAACCCAAAACCGUCAGACAGGAAUCCAUUGAUUUUGGUGCCAGAACCCCUCAUUGCCUCGUCUGGGUUUACCACUUUUCUUGGCCUGAAGAUUCUCAUUGACUGGCGACGAAUUCGUGCGGACGGUCCCUGUUCCUCAUCAUUUGCAGUUUCAUGUCCAUGCUAUGCUCGACAUCAUCAGCAUCCAGCAUCAUCCAGGCCAGAAAUCUGAGCUGAAUGGACGCCACAAAGAAUCCCUGUUCAAACUUGGAACUUUACGGGGAAAAACAACACACUCAACAUUGGAGGCGUGGAGGCCAGCGGAUGAAGGCGCAAAUCCAUCAAAAGAAAAUGUCGUCAAGUUUUCUUAGCAGCGUAUUGAGUUCACCCGAUGAUGAAUUGGGCCAACAAGCCAGGAAUGGAGGUGUUAGAGCUCAGAGCUCAGAGCUUAUCCGAGAGCUGUCUUAACCUCUUUCUUCACUAAUGCUAAUGCACACAUACACACACCGUCAAGUCAAGCGAUGAGGCAUGUGUGGCCAAGACUUGUUUGUCAAUAGCGUUCUCGAGACACCUCAUUAGAUUUACACUCACAAGACAUCCCAAUCAGAGGGGAAAGGGGCUAAGAGAGAGAAGGGGUCCAGCGUUUUCAGAUUGAUGCAUCUUAUGAAUAUCACGUAUCAGUGCACACUAUGAUCGAAAAAUGUCUUAGCUAUCAUUUCUCAGUUCGAAACUUGGAGAGAUUGGUUGAAAGAGUAUGUACCAUCGCGUUCAAGACCUAAAGAAACUGGUAUAUUAAGUAAUAUGGGAGAAUGACCCAUCUGAGAGAGGUGAACUCUACUUUUAGAGGUGUGGGAGGUCGCCCAGUCUGAACUUAAACGUCCGUAAAAUGAUAUCUGUCUUCAACUUGGACACCUUGAACCUCCAGAGCUCUUUCGUCCCCUAGUGAUGGAUGAUGAAAACGUUCCCUCUCAAGUGGAAAAAGAGCAUGUGCUCAAAUUAUAACAUCAGUACAUCAUGUCUUAGAUCCCAGUUCCAGGUGAGAACAAAUAUCUCUGGCGAUAUUUUUUUACCCCCCCAAAAAAGUUGUCGGCUACGGACGUGUAUCUUCUCAGUUCUACUCUAAUUCCAAAGAAAUGCCAAUGAUAUCAAUUAAGGUUAAAUGAUCAUUGUGAACGAAGACUUGACGAGAAUUCCAGGAUGUUCUGCCUUUGACGACAUCCUCAACGGUAAGAAACGGGGAUGCAACGAGACAACAAGGAACAAUUAGCGUGGUGACAAACUGUCGCCUUUUCGGAUGAACUCACAUGUCUCUCCUCAUGUCUUGAGGGCGAUGCUAUAGUCAUUCAAAGGAUUCAUAGACGGAUUCUCCAACGAUCAUUGUUCUUAACUCAAGAAACACGGUCAACAUGAUCUCAUUUCCGUGGGCCUUCUGGACGUUUUCGUGAAAAUCAUGUUUAAUGCACGUGAUCUUGUGGUUAGUUCUGUCCCCUAUGCUUAAUAUUCGAAAACCUGCUGGAGGAUAUUGUUUCUGGUGACGUCGUGGGAACCCACUAAUGGGUCGGUCGUCCUGGCAGAAAACGAAGAUCUGGCACCGUUCGCGGUUUGACAAGCUCAUUGUCUCAUCUGGAAUGAGAGUUCUGGUCAAAUUCUUCAAGUCUCACAUGGCUCAUCAUGGGAAAACCACUUUGACCGGACCCAAGUCCGGAGAUAUGUACAGUAUACGUAUGUCCUCUUCUUUUCUGCCCUAACAAUUGUUUCGUGUUUUCUGGGAGAGCGAGCCAUCCAGCUAGAACUUGUUUCUGAAUGAAAAUUCAAUGCCCUGGGGAUACAAUGUGAUCAUGUAAUAAUCGAGAGUAGCAUGUGAUGUUUUCA